rnacentral:rRNA from 2 species
AUUAGCUUGCUUUUGAAGAUCAGCGGCGGACGGGUGAGUAACACGUGGGCAACCUGCCUGUAAGACUGGGAUAACUUCGGGAAACCGGAGCUAAUACCGGAUAAUCCUUUCCCUCUCAUGAGGGAAAGCUGAAAGACGGUUUCGGCUGUCACUUACAGAUGGGCCCGCGGCGCAUUAGCUAGUUGGUGAGGUAACGGCUCACCAAGGCGACGAUGCGUAGCCGACCUGAGAGGGUGAUCGGCCACACUGGGACUGAGACACGGCCCAGACUCCUACGGGAGGCAGCAGUAGGGAAUCUUCCGCAAUGGACGAAAGUCUGACGGAGCAACGCCGCGUGAGCGAUGAAGGCCUUCGGGUCGUAAAGCUCUGUUGUCAGGGAAGAACAAGUACCGGAGUAACUGCCGGUACCUUGACGGUACCUGACCAGAAAGCCACGGCUAACUACGUGCCAGCAGCCGCGGUAAUACGUAGGUGGCAAGCGUUGUCCGGAAUUAUUGGGCGUAAAGCGCGCGCAGGCGGUUCCUUAAGUCUGAUGUGAAAGCCCCCGGCUCAACCGGGGAGGGUCAUUGGAAACUGGGGAACUUGAGUGCAGAAGAGGAGAGCGGAAUUCCACGUGUAGCGGUGAAAUGCGUAGAGAUGUGGAGGAACACCAGUGGCGAAGGCGGCUCUCUGGUCUGUAACUGACGCUGAGGCGCGAAAGCGUGGGGAGCGAACAGGAUUAGAUACCCUGGUAGUCCACGCCGUAAACGAUGAGUGCUAAGUGUUAGAGGGUUUCCGCCCUUUAGUGCUGCAGCAAACGCAUUAAGCACUCCGCCUGGGGAGUACGGCCGCAAGGCUGAAACUCAAAGGAAUUGACGGGGGCCCGCACAAGCGGUGGAGCAUGUGGUUUAAUUCGAAGCAACGCGAAGAACCUUACCAGGUCUUGACAUCCUCUGACAACCCUAGAGAUAGGGCGUUCCCCUUCGGGGGACAGAGUGACAGGUGGUGCAUGGUUGUCGUCAGCUCGUGUCGUGAGAUGUUGGGUUAAGUCCCGCAACGAGCGCAACCCUUGAUCUUAGUUGCCAGCAUUAAGUUGGGCACUCUAAGGUGACUGCCGGUGACAAACCGGAGGAAGGUGGGGAUGACGUCAAAUCAUCAUGCCCCUUAUGA